CAGGCACACAGACACAUUUUCUCGUUUAAUGAGAGCGAACAUCUCUACAGGAUUGAUAAAUUUUGAUGUUACCAUGGGGUGAGCAUUGUGUUGAUAGCUGCACACGUAAAUUACAGUAUCUCAGUAAGUGUAUCUGUACUGCAUUACCUAGAAUGCUGCAGAAACGUGAAGGCCACUACACAUUUGCGCUUAUUUACAUGUACUGCGAAUAUAAACCGACACAGUAUCUGGCUUCACUGGCUGUGACAUUGAAGAGGGGCAUUUCCUUGAAGAGGGGCAUCACCACUCGCACCCCUCUCCCACCUGUCUCCCCCUCCCUGCGCUUUGCGCGCCGCACACUCACUCGCUCAGUCGUUUACGCCACCGAACGCAGCAGACACUCCCCCUCCCCCGCUCCCCACCCUACCGCCUUCAUGAACCAGCAACGAGAUCAGGCGCAUAGUCAUUUGCGUCCCAUUUCUAAGGAGCUUCGCUCAUCGGUUGUAUUCGUACACGGAACAACUGCUAUUCAAAGUUAGUUUUAGGCAAGUUUUGUGGGUAAAACAAAAUUAUUAGCUCUGUACAGUAACUUGAAUAUAAUUGCGUCUUCUAAGGGGCUGCUCAGCGAGCCACACCGCAGACUUCGUUUUUAAUCACUGUGAAUUGCGUUGCCGUCUGAGGAGCGCUUUACCGAAAGAAAGUUUUGAAAUCGCUUCAUUAAUGGGUGUCUUAUAAAGAAGUUAAAUUGUUCUGUUACAAUAACGUCUCCUGGAAGUGGACUUCACUGCCACAGUCGCCACUCUUUUUCUCUAUGGUGAACUAGAAUAGCCUAUUCUAGUUCACUAUACUCUCCUCCUUUGCCGCGGUUAGCGUCCGCAAAGGGCGUGUCUCCCCCCGCUUUACGGUAGCUACUCGCGUUUUCGCGUGUGCUGGAGUAGAGCCAGCACACCACGUGACAAGCCCCGCCCCCUCUUUUUUUUUCUCUUUCUUAGCGCACUUGCAUUGUCGAUAUACGCACUCCGCAUUGGAUGAAUCACGGAGGAAGCAAAAAUUAGGAUACAGCAUGACGCAGCACGACUGAAGAAAAA
rnacentral:lncRNA from 1 species